rnacentral:rRNA from 1 species
GACGAACGCUGGCGACGUGCUUAACACAUGCCAGUCGAACGGAAAGGCCCUGCUUUUGUGGGGUGCUCGAGUGGCGAACGGGUGAGUAACACGUGAGUAACCUGCCCUUGACUUUGGGAUAACUUCAGGAAACUGGGGCUAAUACCGGAUAGGAGCUCCUGCUGCAUGGUGGGGGUUGGAAAGUUUCGGCGGUUGGGGAUGGACUCGCGGCUUAUCAGCUUGUUGGUGGGGUAGUGGCUUACCAAGGCUUUGACGGGUAGCCGGCCUGAGAGGGUGACCGGCCACAUUGGGACUGAGAUACGGCCCAGACGCCUACGGGAGGCAGCAGUGGGGAAUAUUGCACAAUGGGCGGAAGCCUGAUGCAGCAACGCCGCGUGCGGGAUGACGGCCUUCGGGUUGUAAACCGCUUUCGCCUGUGACGAAGCGUGAGUGACGGUAAUGGGUAAAGAAGCACCGGCUAACUACGUG